rnacentral:rRNA from 1 species
UACAGAGGUGGCAAGCGUUGUUCGGAAUUACUGGGCGUAAAGGGCGAGUAGGUGGCCAUCUAAGUCAGACGUGAAAUCCCCCGGCUUAACCUGGGAACUGCGUCUGAUACUGGACGGCUUGAGUAUGGGAGAGGAACGUAGAAUUCCAGGUGUAGCGGUGAAAUGCGUAGAUAUCUGGAGGAAUACCGGUGGCGAAGGCGGCGUUCUGGGACGGUACUGACGCUGAGACGCGAAAGCGUGGGGAGCGAACGAGG